rnacentral:rRNA from 1 species
CAGAGUUUGAUNCUGGCUCAGGAUGAACGCUAGCGGGAGGCCUAACACAUGCAAGCCGAGCGGUAUUUCUUCUUCGGAAGAGAGAGAGCGGCGUACGGGUGCGUAACACGUGUGCAACCUACCUUUAUCUGGGGGAUAGCCUUUCGAAAGGAAGAUUAAUACCCCAUAAUAUAUUGAAUGGCAUCAUUUAAUAUUGAAAACUCCGGUGGAUAGAGAUGGGCACGCGCAAGAUUAGAUAGUUGGUGAGGUAACGGCUCACCAAGUCUGUGAUCUUUAGGGGUCCUGAGAGGGAGAUCCCCCACACUGGUACUGAGACACGGACCAGACUCCUACGGGAGGCAGCAGUGAGGAAUAUUGGACAAUGGGUGAAAGCCUGAUCCAGCCAUCCCGCGUGAAGGAUGACGGUCCUAUGGAUUGUAAACUUCUUUUGUACAGGGAUAAACCUACUCUCGUGAGGGUAGCUGAAGGUACUGUACGAAUAAGCACCGGCUAACUCCGUGCCAGCAGCCGCGGUAAUACGGAGGGUGCAAGCGUUAUCCGGAUUUAUUGGGUUUAAAGGGUCCGUAGGCGGACCUGUAAGUCAGUGGUGAAAUCUCAUAGCUUAACUAUGAAACUGCCAUUGAUACUGCAGGUCUUGAGUAAAUUUGAAGUGGCUGGAAUAAGUAGUGUAGCGGUGAAAUGCAUAGAUAUUACUUAGAACACCAAUUGCGAAGGCAGGUCACUAAGAUUUAACUGACGCUGAUGGACGAAAGCGUGGGUAGCGAACAGGAUUAGAUACCCUGGUAGUCCACGCCGUAAACGAUGCUAACUCGUUUUUGGAUUUUCGGAUUCAGAGACCAAGCGAAAGUGAUAAGUUAGCCACCUGGGANANUCCCNANAGGNG